GCGGCUUUUCUCCUUGUUAUGCAUAUUUCCUAAAGGACUUGCAGCUGCGCCACCUGCUUUCCAGGGAUAGCACCUGUUUCAAUUAAUUUCACUUGCCAAAUUAAUUCUGCUUUCUUUCCCAGCAGAGCCGAAUGAUUCAAGCUCCUUUUAAGCAUUCCUUCAUCUGGGGUUUCAACCACCAGCCAACAUCUUGUCUACUGAUCUGCAAUCUUGUUGAUUCUACAGAGUUGUGGCCAUGUGGCGAACCAGGCAAAUAGGCAGUUCACUCGCACAAAGUGGGCCAAUGAGGAUGUUUCUUGUGAUGAUUUGAACCUAUCCAACUUCGCCUCUAUGGUUGGAGAAAAGGAUACAGCGAGCAAACUGAUGGAAGAAACAUGGUUAGUAGCUUUAGAGGUUCCGAUUACGAUAUCCUCUUCAAGAAAUCCUAUCAUCGUCAUUGUAGAUGCAUGUACAAUUAGUCUAGGUGCAACUUGAUGCCAACUCCUGUCCCUAUGUUAUAUAUACCAUGUAGAAUCACAUGCUUCCAUAUAUAUUUGUAUGCUUAGCUGUCUUGCUCUUGAGUUCAAUCUUUUGCGAUUCAUUUGUUCAUUUGUUCCAAUAAGAAUUACAUGAUGGUUGUAAUUCUUUACCUUAAAAAUAGACAAACAGUCCCCCAUGAACCCAGACAGAAACAACAUCAUCAGUCUGUUUAGCUUAUCGUAUAUAAGGGCCUUUCUUUCUUUUUCUUUUUUUUUUCAGCCAUGUUUUCUCGCCUAGCCUAGUUGGUGGAUCUUGCUUCCAUCAUGGCCAACAGGCAUCAAAUUAUCACCUGCGAGGAACUGAUUAAUUAAUGUUGAAUGAGCACCAAUUAUAAGCUGGACAUGGAAACAAAUGCCUGGUCCAGACUUUUACAAGCUUCCAACUAGUCCAUGGAUUGAUCUACAUUGCAUGUGGACUAUCUAUAAUUUAGAUAAAACAAUAUAAAGGUCAUCAAGAUUCUGCUUGCUUCCACCUACUGGACAUUUCAUGAACAUUUGCUUGUAGAGUACACAUGUUAAGCUCAGCAAAAAUAAACAUUAUUGCUUCUAUGAGCCUGGAAUAGGAACACAUUACUGCAAUCCACUCGUGUAGGGCUUUAGUUUAGUUUGAUAAGAAUACUUAUUACAUCUUAUACUCAACACAUGUCAAUAAUGCAGGAGAAACUUCAAACAUGUGCCUUAAAUACAGCAUUAUCAUAGAUGGGAGUGUGCACAUUUCGCAUGAGGUGAGAUUCCUGCCGAACUUGAACGUGGGCUAACAUUAUUAGGGCAUAUUCAACUCGUG
rnacentral:lncRNA from 1 species